rnacentral:sRNA from 1 species
GCAGCAUUGUAUGAGAACUGCUAGAAUAUCACUCACCACUUCCCAUAGAGAUUCUGUUUGUUCAUCUGCUUGUCCCACUGUGUGCCUUACACAUAGUAGGUGCUCUUGGAAUGUGUGUGAGAUGGAUUAACAUGAGAAGUGCUUCUCUGCAUGAUUUCACCAUUAAAGUGUUGAAAGCAACUAGUGCUCCUCCUUCCUGACCUCCAGGCUUCCACCCAGCUGUGGGGACUGCUGUGGUGGAAGGGCCUAGUCUGAAUCUGGACAGGGGAGGUGCCUGCAAAUAUUUUCAUGCCUGCAAAUAUUUUUGUGCCUCGGGACAGAUGGAUGUCCAGUUUACUGUCUGCUUCCUCAGUGGUUCUAGAGCUGCUCAGUCACAGGCUCCAGAUGUCUGCUUCAGAAUUCAAGAACACCUUCCUGAGCUGGGAAACAGAUCCAAGGAAAUAUCAGCCAGAGGCUUCAUUUUAUCAUCUGUGGAAAUGCAAGAUGUUAGAGCACCUAGGAGGGUCUUAACGUGCAAAACACUGUCUUGAGGCUGCCUGCAGAACAGAGGGUCAUCUGCUUUCAUUAGAUUCUCAAGGGAGCCUCAACAGGCUACACCUGAACCCCAGGUUUGGGGCAUCUCUCCAGCCCUCCCAGCUCUGACAUCAUCAUCACCAUUAACAGCUGAAAUGUGUGAGGUGGUUGGGAUGUACCAACAACCCUCCCAAGAGUCCCAUAUCUACCUGACCUCAUUUGACCUUCACAGCAACCCAGUGACUCAGCUGCUAUUUGGCCCACGUUUUACAAACCUGAGUCGGUGUGCUUUACCUCAGUGACCCAAGAACCCAGGUGCUAGAGUCAGGCCUGCAUCCAAAUCAGGGGUGGGAUCAGUGGUGUGCCCUGAACAAAUCAUUAUCCUCUUUUUUGUUUUAUUUUUUUGGAGACAGAGUCUCACUCUGUCACCCAGGCUGGAGUGCAGUGGUACAGUCUCAGCUCACAGCAACCUCUCUCUCCUGGGUUCAAGUGAUUCUCCUGUCUCAGCCUCCCAAGUAGCUGGGGACUACAGGUGCGUGCCACCACACUCAACUAAUUUUUGUGUUUUAGUAGAGACAGGGUUCACCACGUUGCCUAGGCUGGUCUCGA